GGCCGCAGUAUUUUGACUGUGCAAAGGUAGCAUAAUCAUUAGUCUUUUAAUUGAAGGCUGGUAUGAAUGGUUGGACGAGGUAAAUACUGUUUUAUAUUAAUUGAAAUUGAAUUUAGAAUUUAAGUAAAAAGACUUAAAUAUUAUUAAGGGACGAGAAGACCCUAUAGAGUUUAAUAAGUUUAAUAAUUAAUUGAGUUAUUAAUUAAUUUUUGGUUUUUAUGAAAUUUAUUUAAUUGGGGUGAUUAGAGGAUAAAUAAAACUUUUCUUUAAAAUUAAUAUUAUUAUUAGUUCUAUGAUCCAUUAUUAAUGAUUAAAAGAUUAAAUUACCUUAGGGAUAACAGCAUAA
rnacentral:rRNA from 1 species